AAGGUUGGAUCAGGAAUGGAUGAGACAUUGGAGAAAGGCUACCAGUCUGAACAAUGAAGGCAAGCUGAAAUCAGGGUGAACAUGAACAGAGAAGAGACCAAAGAAAACAGCGGACCAGAAGCCAAAUACACAUAUCAGGAAAUAUAAAUACUAGAAGGUUGGUACCUCUGAUUCUUAUUUUUGCCUGCACUCAAGUUCAGUAGACUCAGUGAUGGAAAGGAGAAU
rnacentral:lncRNA from 1 species